UACGGAGGGGGCAAGCGUUGUUCGGAAUUACUGGGCGUAAAGGGCUCGUAGGCGGCCAACUAAGUCAGACGUGAAAUCCCUCGGCUUAACCGGGGAACUGCGCCUGAUACUGGAUGGCUUGAGUUUGGGAGAGGGAUGCGGAAUUCCAGGUGUAGCGGUGAAAUGCGUAGAUAUCUGGAGGAACACCGGUGGCGAAGGCGGCAUCCUGGACCAACACUGACGCUGAGGAGCGAAAGCCAGGGGAGCAAACGGG
rnacentral:rRNA from 1 species